ACCAUGUGCCUGACAAGGGAGAUGUAACGCCCAGUAAAGGCUCCAUUCCCCAUUUUACAGCUGGGGAAACUGAGUUACAGAGCUUUUCUGCACUGAGUCAUCAGGAGCAAAUGCUAGAUCAGAUAGGGUCUCUCUCUCUGCCACCCAGGCCAGAGUGCAGUUGACGCAGGGCAGGGGAGCCCCGAAGUGGAGCAUAGUGUGUCCGGAACUGGUGGGUUCUUGGUCUCACUGACUUCAAGAAUGAAGCCGUGGACCCUCACGGUUCAAGCGAUUCUCCUGCCUCAGCCUCCAGAGUAGCUGGAACUACAGAUGCGCACCACCACGCCCAGAGACAGGGUUUCACCAUGUUGGCCAGGCUUGUCUUGAACUCCUGACGUCGUGAUCUGCCUGCUUUGGCCUCCCAAAGUCCUGGGAUUACAGGCAUGAGCCACCGUACCCAGCCACUCUUGAUUAACUUAAUGGAAAUAUUUACAGAGAUUCUUUCUCUUCUGGGUUCUAGCGUCUUAUCUGUAACCUCUGCAGGGGAGUCACUGAGCAGAACGAAGCGAGUUGCCUGAGAUUCUUCAAAGCCCCAGCCCUUUUGGAGGUUACAUUGUUAUUCUCAGAGCCUUUAUGAUGCAUAAUAAAGACCUAGCUUGUACC
ensembl:lncRNA LINC02018 long intergenic non-protein coding RNA 2018